AUUGAACGCUGGCGGCAUGCCUUACACAUGCAAGUCGAACGGUAACAGGGAGCUUGCUCCGCUGACGAGUGGCGAACGGGUGAGUAAUGUAUCGGAACGUACCUUUCAGUGGGGGAUAACGCAGCGAAAGUUGCGCUAAUACCGCAUAUUCUGUGAGCAGGAAAGCAGGGGAUCGCAAGACCUCACGUUAUUCGAGCGGCCGACGUCUGAUUAGCUAGUUGGUGGGGUAAUGGCUCACCAAGGCGACGAUCAGUAGCGGGUCUGAGAGGAUGAUCCGCCACACUGGGACUGAGACACGGCCCAGACUCCUACGGGAGGCAG
rnacentral:rRNA from 1 species